AAUAACGGAAGGCUUGUGUCAUGUGGAUGUAACGACAGUGGUGUUGUCAUUACUUAGAAUUCCUCAUGUGGGCGACAGAAACUACGCACUGUAGUUUUAAACCAAGACUGCCAUUUCCUUGGAUUUGAGCCCAUAAAUGUGGCAGCACAUAAAAAGAUUUAAAAAAGAACGACAGAAAAAUAUAUUCUAAGAGUCAUUAAUUAUAUUGAUUUUGUAAUAUAUUGACAGCACUUAAAUGUGUAUUUUUAACAAGUUUGAGAACAAUGCUUGUGCAUUUCCUGUAUUUCACCUUUAUGAGGCAAACAAAAAGUGGCUGGUAACAAGCCUGUGUGGCUAGUGGAUUUUAAAAUCCACUUGCCCAGUGGCUGGUGGCCAGAAAAAGUUAACUUCAGGCCCUGCUUACAACCUUUGCCCAUGUACUGUACCAUGACCUACAAACACAACUAUUAUAUACACGAUCAGAGGUAAACUGUAUAUGCAUAGAGCUUUAUACUUCAACUGUAUAGAAAUUCUUCUUCCCCGUCAUGCUGAAACAAAUGUUACAAAAACGUAAUCCCGCACAUCGAUCACGGGGUGUAAAUAUUACAGUAUGUUUUAGGUGUUUUAGCUAUUGAAUUUUCUAAGCUGUUUGUAUUUUGAGAGGGAGGCUAUGUGGAUGAAUGUUGAACUUUUCGUGGGAUGAAACCGAGAGACUUUUUAAAAGUGCCGAGCGCAGCUGGAAAAGCUUCUGUGGGAGUUUUUCGCCAACGUCAGCAUUGACACUGGCGAACAGGGACUGCCUGUUUUCACAGUGAUCAACCCUGUUACAAUCAAAACGGCUGCCUUGAAGAUGCUGUUGCCAUGGAAGUGAGAAUUACAUUUCUUUGGUAUGUACAUAAUGAUAUAACAAACCUUAAAUCUUUAAAGCCAGGUUCAGAUUGCACUCCGUUUGAAUCAAUUCAGUUCAGAAAAUAUAAUAUAUAUGAACGCGACUUACUUGUUGACUACCAAAUAUUUUUUUAAUGGUAAUUUCCAUGAUGAUAACAUUAAUUCUGACAGAAUAAUUACAGUUUAUUUCUUUGAAUUACAAUGUGCUUCCUGAAUUGACAGAUUUGAAAUGGAACCCAACUCUUCCUGGUUUUAAGUACCAAAAUAAGAUUUAUAUAGAGAAAAGAAGGAAGUACAGACAUGGCACUUUGAUGAACACAAGCUUACAUGGGAGGCAAACUGAAAACAUGAGUGCACUGUGACAGGUGGCUUUGCAUCCCAAUUUACCUCCUGGUUUAAUCUAUUAUUAAUCUAAGUAGCUCAUACCAUUGAUUGGAGAUUCUAUAUCUUAUCACAUAUUUAUUUUGGGUCCAGAAAAAUCCUUAUCAUAUUUAUUUGAGAGGUGAAAAAUAAUUUGUCUGGUGACAUGAGGAAAGAUAAAUUCAAGAAAUAUAUAAUUUAAUUGGAAAUACCUGGGAGUUCGGCCAAUGGGAAUGGUGUUGGUGCUAGGAAUAGUGUGGCCACUCUUCAGUGUCUGAUGAGCCAUUCAAAACCAUGACCAGAUUAAUCCACUACCUCCAUCAUACACAAUGUAUGACAGAUCCCUAGUUUGUUCACUCCUAGACUUGCAUUGCCAGAUCUAUCUCCACAGCGCUGUGGAUAUACAAGACUCCAGAAAAACAUACAGGUUUUUUUUUCUGAGCACCUGUAGCACCACCUAUCCACAUUAACUCUUGAACUUGAAGUUAAAAGCUCAUUCUUGACUUUGAAAACGACAGUCGACAAAACAGUCAGGAGUGUCCACAUACCUUUGCAUAAUUUGAUUGAUAUUUUUUUUUAUAUCUACGCUGAGACAAAAAUGGCAUCAACAACAGGAGAUUUUCAGUUUGACUCCCAUUGAAGUUCUCAUGUUGCACAGUGACUUAAAGUGACAAACUUAAAGAUUGCUUGUUUUUGUAGCAUAUUAACAAUCGGGCCCAGCAUAGGGCAUUGUUUGUAGCCAUUUUUAGACCUACAGGGGAAAAUGUUAUGCUUACAACCUGUGGUACUGUUAAGAGAAAAACAGUGUAGCAAAUUAACUGCGGUGUUAGCCUCUUUUAUGCAUAUUUGCUAUGUGGAAAUUAAAUAGGAAAUCAUUUAGCAGCUGAGUAUGAGAGCUUUUGCUGAUGUUUUGAGAUGUUUGUUUUAAUUGCCAAAGCUGAGCAUUCAUGCUGUGUAGUGAUCACACACACACACACACACACACACACACACACACACACAGACACACUGUCUACAGAGAUAUAUUUAUGUAGCUGACUUCUGAGGAGUUGUUUUCCGUUUUCUGAUUCAAAUAAAUCAGAACCAACAGUGUUUCUGAGGACCACGUCAGAGACGUACAGAUGUAGUGAACUACUUUUUGAAAUGUUUACUUCCUUUGUUCAAUGCAGACAUUUCUUCAGACUGUGAUUAUGGUAUAAAUAUUCGUACUGAAGACGCUGUAUGCAGUCCACACAAGACGUGUUUACAUUGCCAAGGUAGAGACAUUUUAAACGUUUUCAUGGUCAUAUGUGUUUCGAGUCCAGUAGCAUUUGACUGACUCAAUACCUGUCAAAAACCGACCAUAUCAUUUAUCUGACUUUAAUUGUUCUGAUAAUUCCUGCAAAACGUGCUAUUUGCAGGAUUGUGGUUUUUAUCUGCCAGCAGUGUUAAGUUAAAAACCAAUAAAGCUUGCCUGGUUCCAGCCUCCU